UCUUUGGUUUGCUUUGUUUUUCUGUAUAUUGAAUGUUUACUGUGUAAACAGUAGGGUAGGGAGCAGACUAACCUUAGAGGGGUUCCUUUUAUGGUUUUAUGUUUGUUUGGGGUUUGUUUGGGAUUGUAAUUCGUAAAAUUCAUUUAGAAUACAUUUUGCCAUAGCAGUAGUAUUAUAAAUUUUGGUUAGGUUUCCAGGCCAAUCUAUAUAACCUCUAGUGACAUUAAAAUAUUAUAUAUUUGCAACAAGGAGUAGUAGAAAACCACGCUGUUAGAAUAGUAGUAAUUGGGGAAAAUAGUAAUAUUAAAAAUAUUAUUGGUCUUCAUUAAGUACAGUUGGUUUAACAGUGUAAGGAAGGUGAUGGCCAUUGGGAGGAGAUUGGAGCUGCAGGCCUUAGAGAUUGGGUUAAUUUUGAAUCAAAAUGUCUUCUUGCUGCAUGUGAUUCACCAGCUGUGAUUACAGUAAUUUGCAAACUCAUAAAUGGGAGAGUAUGAUGCACGUCCACGAAGAUAACUUGACAAGAUUCGGAGGAGAGGAGGAUGCAUGUGAAAAGGUCGUCCGGGUGGAAUUAUCAGGCGUCUUGGACCCAGGUGGGCAUCGCGGACCCAGGACAGCCGGGUCGGCUGGGGGUGACGAAUCGGGUAGAAGGAAGAUAAUGCGCCUUCAGCCAUCGCGUGUGACAUCCUUGCCUGUAACUUGCUGCAAUCUAAAGUAUGGUAGCGGGUGAGCUCUUUUCUGCUCAUGCAACAUGGAAGGCAGUUUUAAAUGUUUUCACAUGAAAAAUAACUCUGCUUUCUUUAACUUAGAGAAAUACUCGUUCUACUAGUCACAAUCAGUAGCUACCUGGACUUAAAAAAAUCAUGUUCUCUGCCCUGUAAUUUAUUUUGACCUAACCAUGUUUUACCUGCCUGGCUAAUUUCCAAGGGCCCUGCCACUUCCAUCUUGUGUUUCCUUUCUCCUAAUUAGUCCUUAAGUGGCAUUCAGAUUCUGUUUUUAAGUGUAUUAUUGCUGUGUUUUCCAGUGAGGGUAAAAUUUAAAAACGCCUACCUGUAUCUAUUGAUUUAGGCUUACCUGUGCCUCUGUCCCAUUGAUAUCUUCUUGAAAAAUAAUACAGAAGGUGACUUUUAAUAAUAGGAGACCCAUAAGCUACCAGGAAGCUCAACAUUUAGAUGAGAAUUUGUAAUCAGACCAUAUCCAUAUUGUAAAAGGAAUAUCUCUAAUAUAUAUGUUACAUCGA